GUCCACGCCGUAAACGAUGGAUACUAGCUGUUGGAGGUAUCGACCCCUUCAGUAGCGAAGCUAACGCGUUAAGUAUCCCGGCCUGUGGAGUACGGUCGCAAGACUAAAAACAUAAAGGAAUUGACGGGGACCCGCACAAGCGGUGGAUCGUGUUCUUUAAUUCGAUGAUAAACGAAGAACCUUACCAGGGUUUGACAUCCUUGGAAUUUCUGCGAAAGUAGAAAGUGCUUUAUUGAACCAAGUGACAGAUGAUGCAUGCCCGUCGU
rnacentral:rRNA from 1 species